rnacentral:rRNA from 1 species
AAGCGAGCCUGCGAAGGCAAGCGGAUCUCUUAAAGCUGUUCUCAGUUCGGACUGCAGUCUGCAACUCGACUGCACGAAGCUGGAAUCGCUAGUAAUCGCGGAUCAGCACGCCGCGGUGAAUACGUUCCCGGGCCUUGUACACACCGCCCGUCACACCAUGGGAGUCGGAAAUGCCCGAAGCCGGUGACCAAACCAAUAAGGAAGGAGCCGUCGAAGGCAGGUCUGAUAACUGGGGUGAAGUCGUAACAAGGUACC